AGGACAUGCAUACUGGAACCAGGGUUGAAAUGAUUACAUCUGAAGAAAGUAAUUACAAUUACAAUUACUUUCAAAAAAUGAGAUUUGGGUGGGAGAGUAAACGCUCGUCUUUGGCGCAGGAAGCAGUACAUUGAGGGAAGCAAAUCGAGCUAAUAGGGUUUCAUCAUUUAUUUCCAGAAGUGUAAGUGAUAGAAGAGCAGAGGUCAUAUUAAGACAGUGUUUAUAAGCACUAGUUAGGAAACACUUGGAUUAUGCUGUUCACUUCUUGUCACCUUACUAUAGGAUGGAGAUAGAUUCACUUGAAUCAGUACAGAGAAAUUCUUACCACAGGGCGAAAGGCUUCAUUAAUUUGCAUUCUCUUGAGAGACGUGGAACGAAGGGAGAUUUAAGUGAGGUGUUUAAAUGGAUCGAGGGAUUCAAUACCGGUGAUGGUACCCAUCACUCCUAAUGGAGCCCCACAACCCUUACCACUUCAAUUUUAUAAUAAUAAUUAAAUUACAAAUUACAUCAUUCUGUAAUUAAUUAAAGUAGAAUUACCAUAAUUUCAUUUAAAAUAACAAUUACAAUAUGACAAAAUUCUGUAAUUGAUUACAUUUCAGUUAGAUUACAAUUACAAUUACUCCAGCCCUGACUGGAACAGUUAUUCAAGACAGGACAGACAAUACUUCUGCUAUCAAGAACUGUAUUCGUUGCUUGUAUCCCUCAAUAAUUUUUAACUGAGGUGAGAAUGGAGAAGAACGGUGUUUGUGGGAUACUUCACUUUGCCCCAUAAAUUGGCCUUCAAUGACGGUUCGCGGGAGUAAUAGGUUAUUUGACACUUCCAGUAAAUAGUAUCAAAUGCACUUGUAUGUAUGAAUUGUAUUACCUUCACCAAUAAUAGCAUUUGCAAAC